GACGAACGCUGGCGGCGUGCUUAACACAUGCAAGUCGAACGGAAAGACCCUGCUUUUGUGGGGUGCUCGAGUGGCGAACGGGUGAGUAACACGUGAGUAACCUGCCCUUGACUUUGGGAUAACUUCAGGAAACUGGUGCUAAUACCGGAUAGGAGCUCCUGCUGCAUGGUGGGGGUUGGAAAGUUUCGGCGGUUGGGGAUGGACUCGCGGCUUAUCAGCUUGUUGGUGGGGUAGUGGCUUACCAAGGCUUUGACGGGUAGCCGGCCUGAGAGGGUGACCGGCCACAUUGGGACUGAGAUACGGCCCAGACUCCUACGGGAGGCAGCAGUGGGGAAUAUUGCACAAUGGGCGGAAGCCUGAUGCAGCAACGCCGCGUGCGGGAUGACGGCCUUCGGGUUGUAAACCGCUUUCGCCUGUGACGAAGCGUGAGUGACGGUAAUGGGUAAAGAAGCACCGGCUAACUACGUG
rnacentral:rRNA from 1 species